UCCUCGAUCGCCACGUCCAAGUGGACCGCCAUGAAGCCCAGCACGGAGAACACCACGAAGCCGGCAAAGAUGCUGGUGGCGCUGUUCAGGAGGCACAGUGCCAUGCACUCCCUAUUUUGGGCAGAAACAGCUUCCUAGAGACGUCAGGACUCCCUGGCUUACGGCAAAGGAGAAGAACACCUGGGUCCCCGCGUCAAACCAAACCUAAACAGGGAGGAAAGCAUGGGAGCGGAAACGAGGCCGUAGGAAGAAACGGAUAAGGACCACAUCAUGUGCUGAAUGCUUUCAGGGGCCCGAUCUCAAGUCUUUAAAAAAAAGAGACAGCCUGCUCGAUGCGUGCAACAGGGUCGACGCAAAGAGCCCCGAAAGGUCGCCCAGUCUCCCAAAGUCGGGCAAGAGGUAGAAUUUCAGGCCCUCGCCAGCACCGGGCAGCGACACCCCUCGGAGGAAAAGGAGGAUGAGCAUCAGAAUUCCUCUUCGGCGGACUUGACCAUCAGGAAUGAUUCGUUCAGGGAUCUGCGGAGGUGGGGUAAAGCACACCCGUAUCUUCUUGAUGGUUCUCAUGCAUUCCAAGCAAUCCUAAUUAACGGUAAAAACCUCUACGAACCCCAAACUCUGGACUACCGCCAAAGAGAACACAGAGAAAUCGGAGCUCAGUGGUCAAGUUGGAGGCGAGCAAGAGGAGCAGGAAAAGACGUUCCCAGGUGCCCCGAGCGACUCACACGUCAGUCAAGUUCUCAAAGUAGUCGUAGGUGCUGAUGUUGUUGAGG